rfam:Pan troglodytes isolate Yerkes chimp pedigree #C0471 (Clint) chromosome 5, whole genome shotgun sequence.
UACUUUCAUGGGGAAGCAAAUUUGAGUACCACCCAAGUAUUGACCCACUCCAUCAAUGGCCACCAUGUAUAUCGUGCAUUACUGCCAGCCACCAUGAAUAUUACCAU